GCAGUCGAACGGUGAUAGCAAUAUCAUAGUGGCGCACGGGUGCGUAACACGUAUGCAACCUACCUUAUACUGAGGGAUAGCCUUUCGAAAGGGAGAUUAAUACCUCAUAACACAUUGAACUGGCAUCAGUUUAUUGUUAAAGAUUUAUUGGUAUAAGAUGGGCAUGCGUCCAAUUAGUUAGUUGGCGAGGUAACGGCUCACCAAGACGAUGAUUGGUAGGGGAACUGAGAGGUUAAUCCCCCACACUGGCACUGAGAUACGGGCCAGACUCCUACGGGGGGCAGCAGUAGGGAAUAUUGGGCAAUGGAGGCAACUCUGACCCAGCCAUGCCGCGUGCAGGAAGAAGGCGUUAUGCGUUGUAAACUGCUUUUAUAUAGGAAGAAAUAGACCUCGCGAGGUAAGUUGACGGUACUAUAUGAAUAAGCACCGGCUAACUCCGUGCCAGCAGCCGCGGUAAUACGGAGGGUGCAAGCGUUGUCCGGAUUUAUUGGGUUUAAAGGGUGCGUAGGCGGUUUAUUAAGUCAGUGGUGAAAGACGGUCGCUCAACGAUUGCAGUGCCAUUGAUACUGGUAGACUUGAGUGGGAUUGAGGUAGCUGGAAUGGAUAGUGUAGCGGUGAAAUGCAUAGAUAUUAUCCAGAACACCAAUUGCGUAGGCAAGUUACUAAGUCUCAACUGACGCUGAGGCACGAAAGUGUGGGUAUCAAACAGGAUUAGAUACCCUGGUAGUCCACACUGUAAACGAUGAUAACUAACUGUUGGCUUUCGAGUCAGUGGUAC
rnacentral:rRNA from 1 species